UGACGUUAAACUUUUAAAUUCGCCAGAGUACUACGAGCCACAGCUUAAAACUCAAAGGACUUGGCGGUGCCCUAUACCCCCUAGAGGAGCCUGUUCUGUAAUCGAUAUUCCCCGAUAAACCUCACCACCUCUCGCUAAUACAGCCUAUAUACCACCGUCCUCAGCUUACCCCUCAAAGGGAAAAUAGUAAGCAAAAUCAUUUUAAAUAAAAAAGUCAGGUCAAGGUGUAGCAAAUGAGGCGGAAAGAAAUGGGCUACAUUUUCUAUUAUAGAAUAUACAAAAUGUUUUAUGAAAUAUAACAUGAAGGAGGAUUUAGAAGUAAAAGGAAAAAAGAGUGUUCUUUUUAAAUCGGCAAUAGAGCGCGCACACACCGCCCGUCACCCUCCUUACAUACCAGAAAAUUAAAUAAAUAUUAAUAUAACAAGAGGAGAUAAGUCGUAACAUGGUAAGCCUACCGGAAGGUGGGCUUGGAUAUUAGAAUAUAGCUUAAUUAAAGCAUUUUGCUUACAUCAAAAAAAUAUUUAUUAAAAUAAAUUAUUCUGAGUGUUAAUUAUAGCCUAUAUAUAUAUAUAUUCUACUUAAUAAUAUAA
rnacentral:misc_RNA from 1 species